CUCCUUCCCCGACGCAUUUCCAAAUAGUCGUUUGAACCGAUAAGACGAUCCGCUCCGGCGCGUCCAAAGUCGCCCUGAUUAUGGCCCGUACCGCGCUCCUUCUACCUGCCGCCGAGCGGUAAACUCGUAAGAGAUGCCCACGCGUCGAUCGACAAUCGGUCGAUCGUUAGCCAGAUACCUCCUCGCGGGAUGCAUCGUGUCGUUGUCGACGAGUCUCGCGCGAGUCGAAGGCAGGAAGUGCGUGUGUACGAGUAAAGCCUGCAAAGAAGCUGGCGUAGAUACUUGUAGAACGAGAUUCUUUUGCUACACCGAACUUAUCGUCACAACGGCACGAGAAAUCGGCCAAAGUACCACUACAAGAGGAUGUACGGAGGGUGCCACGCCAUUGUUGUGCGAAACAAAGUCCUGGAUCACGAGGUCGCGAUCGGUCAACGCCGUCGAACCGUCGUCGGCAAGUCCCCGGGUUCUCGUGCCCUGGCCCAGAUUGAAAUGCUGCAACGGCCACGACUAUUGUAACGCUGAUGACAACGACGACGAUGAGAACGCGAGCACGUGGACGCACGAGAGACAGGCUCAGAUGCGUUCUACGGCGGAUCGCGAGGCACCGAUGGACGGAUUAACGUCAACGAAUACGACGUUAACGUUGCAGCCUGAUCGAAAGUAUCAAGAUUCGAGAGAAGAUCGACUUGUCCGGAAUCACAUCAGGGCGCUACAUAUCGCCGCUCUCGUCCUUGCUGUCGCAGCCCUCAUAUCCGUUCUAGCAUCUUGCUACGUCGUUACAAGAUUCCUUAGAAGUAAUGGUUACAUAAUGGGCACGGUAAACUAAUGGUGAAGACGAUGCUGAAACUUGGAUGCAUCGGGACUCGAAGGGAUCGUGACUUUUCCUGCGAGGAAAUAAAUUAAGAUUUGACAAGUUUAUAGUUUGACGCUCGCGGGGAUAUAAUUCUCGUCUCGAUCGUAUGCCGCUGAUCGACUAACGAACGGAAAAUAUAAAUAGAAGCCGGCCGUGCGGGAGAUAACUGCUGCCGACAGGCUGGCCGCGAGUCUGUAUUAAAGCGAUUUUUUGUUACGCUCGCUGGAUAGCUUUCAAGUUCCAGCAGUAGCGCCGGCAUGGCUGUCGGAGAUGGCGAGCGAUCGAAUAUCGCGCGCUAAUAAUAUUAUCUCAGCGCGGAUACUAUUAACCCGUCGGCAGUCGAAACUGCAACACUGAUUGAUCUUGGCUGAAAAUUGUAGACGAAGCUGUAAAAAGGCGUACUCGAGCAAGGGCUCCCUGUAACUGUAAAGUUUGUG